GAUGAACGCUGGCGGCGUGCCUAAUACAUGCAAGUCGAGCGAACAGACGAGGAGCUUGCUCCUCUGACGUUAGCGGCGGACGGGUGAGUAACACGUGGAUAACCUACCUAUAAGACUGGGAUAACUUCGGGAAACCGGAGCUAAUACCGGAUAAUAUAUUGAACCGCAUGGUUCAAUAGUGAAAGACGGUUUUGCUGUCACUUAUAGAUGGAUCCGCGCCGCAUUAGCUAGUUGGUAAGGUAACGGCUUACCAAGGCAACGAUGCGUAGCCGACCUGAGAGGGUGAUCGGCAACACUGGAACUGAGACACGGUCCAGACUCCUACUGGAGGCAGCAGUAGGGAAUCUGCCGCAAUGGGCGAAAGCCUGACGGAGCAACGCCGCGUGAGUGAUGAAGGUCUUCGGAUCGUAAAACUCUGUUAUUAGGGAAGAACAAAUGUGUAAGUAACUAUGCACGUCUUGACGGUACCUAAUCAGAAAGCCACGGCUAACUACGUG
rnacentral:rRNA from 1 species